UGCCCGUUUCACCCCAAUUGCUAAUCGUAUGCACACGAGCCACCGCACGACGCACACACUCGAACGUACGGAUUCGAUGCGUAUCGCAUCCUGAGGAGUCGUAAAACACUGAAAUUGGAUGUUCGUCGUGUACAAUAACGGAGAAUGCAGGAUUUGAGGAGUCUUUUGAAAAAAUGGUCACGAAUUGAGCCUCCAGGCACUGGACAAUGGGACGCGCGGGAAGAGGAUGAGAGAGAAAGAGAGCACGAGUGAUGUCCCCAUUCAUUGCACAAGCUGUCCAACAAUCAACGCAGAACUCUCAGAAACUCCGUGGAUUAUGAAAUUCUCCAACGAAAGCACCAGGCACGCGUUUCUCGAUCGAGAUUCAUUGGAUUUCUGAGGAUGUUCCAGGGUUUGUUCAUAACUGCGAGUGAGCUGAACCUCAACCAACUUUUAGGGCCACAUUUAACGAAAUUUUUAUUUAAAAAAACUCCAAUCGAAGUAUCGUGGCAUAAAAUCGUCAGGGGCCUCGUGAAUGACGAUGUGAAAGAAAUAGAAAAGACCCAGGUCCUCGGAUCAGACGAGCUCGGAUCCGAAUGGGGAAAGCGCAGAAGAGCACAUGCAAAGGAAAACGAACACGAGAGUCAGGACUGAGGAUAAAUCUAUGUGCAAGCAGAGGCCAGCAUAAGGGUGGAUUUGAAAACGAGGAUCCACAGCUGACCGAUCAAGAGAACUAUGGCGAUGACAAUGAGGAUGAAGACAGCCUCAAACGCAGAGCUUCGGGGACGACCCACGUGAACAUAACCAGCGAAGCCAUACGACCCCUGCACAGAUUGUGUAACACGUGUCUAUUACGACUGGGUCGUCAGAAAGGGCAAAAUAAUGAGAGAAUCCAAAUUUCUUCGUUUGCCUCAGUUUCGUCUCGCUAUUUUUAUGGAACGUGGAUGACGCUUUGGUGCGGAAUGUGAAUUUCCGAGGAAAUCGGAGAAAUAAAAUGGUUGAAACUACCGUAGAAAGAAAAGCUGAUUAAAUAAAACAACGAAAAAGUUCCGAGUGCCGAGUGGAGUCACGUAUCGGGGGAUGCUUUGGACACCUUGGAAAAUGAGACCAGCGGCACGUGAGUGUGUGGAGAAGUACAAAGCCGAAAGCGGAAGAGUCGAAAAAUGUUCGGGUUUAUUCGAAACUCAUCCGGAUCGCUGACGCGUGAGAUACGGUGGUGCGAGCGUCGGUAGUUUUUGUAGAGAAAGUAUUUUUUUGUUACGUUUAGGUACGG